CAAAGCCAAAAGGUGGGAAGGGGUUCCCCCAAGGGCUCCCGGAGAAGGGAGGCUUUUCCUGGGUGUAAACCCCCUGGGGAAUAAGGGGGGGGCAAGAUGGGUGUCGCCCGCCCCGGUAACACCAGCCCUCCGAGUGGUGGGGAUGAUUAUUGGGCUUAAAGCGUCCGUAGCCGGCUUGGUAAGUCUCCCGUUAAAUUCAGCGACCCAAGCGUUGACCUGCGGGAGAUACUGCCUGGCUAGAAAGUGGGAGAGGUGUACGGUACUUUGGGGGUAGGGGCGAAAUCCUUUGAUCCCCGGAGGACCACCAGUGGCGAAGGCUGUCACUAGAACACGUCUCGACGGUCAGGGGACGAAAGCUGGGGUAGCGAACCGGAUUAGAUACCCGGGUAGUCCCAGCCGUAAACUAUGCAUGCUAGGUGUUGGGUUGGCCACGAGCCACCCCAGUGCCGCAGGAAAGCCRUUAAGCAUGCCGCCUGGGAAGUACGAUCGCAAGGUUGAAACUUUAAAGGAUUUGGCGGGG
rnacentral:rRNA from 1 species